rnacentral:rRNA from 1 species
GAUGAACGCUAGCUACAGGCUUAACACAUGCAAGUCGAGGGGCAGCGCAGUGUAGCAAUACAUGGGCGGCGACCGGCGCACGGGUGCGUAACGCGUAUCCAACCUUCCCGUUACUCUUGGAUAGCCUUCCGAAAGGGAGAUUAAUACGAGAUGGUGUUCAGUUUUCCGCAUGUUUGCUGAACUAAAGAUUCAUCGGUAACGGAUAGGGAUGCGUGACAUUAGAUAGUUGGCGGGGUAACGGCCCACCAAGUCAACGAUGUCUAGGGGUUCUGAGAGGAAGGUCCCCCANACUGGAACUGAGACACGGUCCAGACUCCUACGGGAGCAGCAGUGAGGGAAUAUUGGUCAAUGGGCGCAAGCCUGAACCAGCCAAGUAGCGUGAAGGAUGACUUGCCCUAUGGGUUGUAAACUUCUUUUGCCGUAGAACAAAACCUGUCACGUGUGACAGUUUGCGUGUAUACGUUGAA